rnacentral:rRNA from 1 species
GAUGAACGCUGGCGGCGUGCCUAAUACAUGCAAGUCGAGCGAACGGACGAGAAGCUUGCUUCUCUGAUGUUAGCGGCGGACGGGUGAGUAACACGUGGAUAACCUACCUAUAAGACUGGGAUAACUUCGGGAAACCGGAGCUAAUACCGGAUAAUAUUUUGAACCGCAUGGUUCAAAAGUGAAAGACGGUCUUGCUGUCACUUAUAGAUGGAUCCGCGCUGCAUUAGCUAGUUGGUAAGGUAACGGCUUACCAAGGCAACGAUGCAUAGCCGACCUGAGAGGGUGAUCGGCCACACUGGAACUGAGACACGGUCCAGACUCCUACGGGAGGCAGCAGUAGGGAAUCUUCCGCAAUGGGCGAAAGCCUGACGGAGCAACGCCGCGUGAGUGAUGAAGGUCUUCGGAUCGUAAAACUCUGUUAUUAGGGAAGAACAUAUGUGUAAGUAACUGUGCACAUCUUGACGGUACCUAAUCAGAAAGCCACGGCUAACUACGUGCCAGCAGCCGCGGUAAUACGUAGGUGGCAAGCGUUAUCCGGAAUUAUUGGGCGUAAAGCGCGCGUAGGCGGUUUUUUAAGUCUGAUGUGAAAGCCCACGGCUCAACCGUGGAGGGUCAUUGGAAACUGGAAAACUUGAGUGCAGAAGAGGAAAGUGGAAUUCCAUGUGUAGCGGUGAAAUGCGCAGAGAUAUGGAGGAACACCAGUGGCGAAGGCGACUUUCUGGUCUGUAACUGACGCUGAUGUGCGAAAGCGUGGGGAUCAAACAGGAUUAGAUACCCUGGUAGUCCACGCCGUAAACGAUGAGUGCUAAGUGUUAGGGGGUUUCCGCCCCUUAGUGCUGCAGCUAACGCAUUAAGCACUCCGCCUGGGGAGUACGACCGCAAGGUUGAAACUCAAAGGAAUUGACGGGGACCCGCACAAGCGGUGGAGCAUGUGGUUUAAUUCGAAGCAACGCGAAGAACCUUACCAAAUCUUGACAUCCUUUGACAACUCUAGAGAUAGAGCUUUCCCCUUCGGGGGACAAAGUGACAGGUGGUGCAUGGUUGUCGUCAGCUCGUGUCGUGAGAUGUUGGGUUAAGUCCCGCAACGAGCGCAACCCUUAAGCUUAGUUGCCAUCAUUAAGUUGGGCACUCUAAGUUGACUGCCGGUGACAAACCGGAGGAAGGUGGGGAUGACGUCAAAUCAUCAUGCCCCUUAUGAUUUGGGCUACACACGUGCUACAAUGGACAAUACAAAGGGCAGCGAAACCGCGAGGUCAAGCAAAUCCCAUAAAGUUGUUCUCAGUUCGGAUUGUAGUCUGCAACUCGACCACAUGAAGCUGGAAUCGCUAGUAAUCGUAGAUCAGCAUGCUACGGUGAAUACGUUCCCGGGUCU